CCAUAUGAUUCUGAUUUGGAGCCAGGCAAUAUGUUCUUGGAUAUUAGUUCAUUGCAAACUGCUUUGCCUAAUGCUCACUUGCCAUCAACCUUCCUUGGUGGUGUGACUGAACCAUGGUUUCCUCAAGAUCCAGUGGCAACUUAUAUUCCAGCUGCAGCACAAGGUAGCUUGGCAUACAUGGCAGGACAAGCACCAAGCCCUCAAUUAGGGAAUGUCCAAACUCAAGGACCUGUUGCUUCUGUUGGUGGAAAACCGUUUGCUUAAAGGAUUCAACAAUGAAGAAUAUUAAUAGUUCUAUUAUUUUGUGUUGAGUAGCACCUGAGUUAUCGCAAUUAUUUUCAUUAUUCUUAU
rnacentral:misc_RNA from 1 species